rnacentral:rRNA from 1 species
GACGAACGCUGGCGGCGUGCCUAACACAUGCAAGUCGAGCGGGGUCCAUCCAGUGGCAACACUGGGGAAGACCUAGCGGCGAACGGGUGAGUAACACGUGAGGAACUUGCCCCGGAGUACGGGAUAACUCGAGGAAACUCGAGCUAAUACCGUAUGCCCUCUUCUGGUCGCAUGGCCGGAUGAGGAAAGAUUUAUCGCUCCGGGAGAGCCUCGCGGCCUAUCAGGUAGUUGGUGGGGUAACGGCCCACCAAGCCAUCGACGGGUAGCUGGUCUGAGAGGACGAUCAGCCACACUGGGACUGAGACACGGCCCAGACUCCUACGGGAGGCAGCAGUGGGGAAUCUUGCGCAAUGGGCGAAAGCCUGACGCAGCAACGCCGCGUGCGGGAUGAAGGCCUGG